rnacentral:rRNA from 1 species
CCAAUAGCGUAUAUGAAAGGUGUUGCAGUUAAAAAGCUCGUAGUUGAAUUUCGGGAUUAGUACGCUGGGCGUGCCUUCGGUAUGUACUGGUGUUACUGGUUCCUACCUCCUGACGAACCGUCAUGUCAUUAAUUUGGUGUGGCGGGGAAUCAGGACUGUUACUUUGAAAAAAUUAGAGUGUUUAAAGCAGGCUCGCGCUUGAAUACAUUAGCAUGGAAUAAUGAAAUAGGACGUUCGAUCCUAUUUUGUUGGUUUCUAGGAUUGACGUAAUGAUUAAUAGGGAUAGUUGGGGGCAUUAGUAUUCAAUUGUCAGAGGUGAAAUUCUUGGAUUUAUUGAAGACUAACUACUGCGAAAGCAUUUGCCAAGGAUGUUUUCAUUAAUCAAGAACGAAAGUUAGGGGAUCGAAGACGAUCAGAUACCGUCGUAGUCUUAACCAUAAACUAUGCCGACUAGGGAUCGGAUGAUGUUAAUUUUUUAAUGACUCAUUCGGCGCCUUACG